rnacentral:rRNA from 1 species
AUGAACGCUGGCGGCGUGCCUAAUACAUGCAAGUCGCGCGAACAGACGAGGAGCUUGCUCCUCUGACGUUAGCGGCGGACGGGUGAGUAACACGUGGAUAACCUACCUAUAAGACUGGGAUAACUUCGGGAAACCGGAGCUAAUACCGGAUAACAUGUUGAACCGCAUGGUUCAACAGUGAAAGACGGUCUUGCUGUCACUUAUAGAUGGAUCCGCGCCGCAUUAGCUAGUUGGUAAGGUAACGGCUUACCAAGGCAACGAUGCGUAGCCGACCUGAGAGGGUGAUUGGCCACACUGGAACUGAGACACGGUCCAGACUCCUACGGGAGGCAGCAGUAGGGAAUCUUCGGCAAUGGGCGAAAGCCUGACGGAGCAACGCCGCGUGAGUGAAGAAGGUCUUCGGAUCGUAAAACUCUGUUAUCAGGGAAGAACAAAUGUGUAAGUAACUAUGCACGUCUUGACGGUACCUAAUCAGAAAGCCACGGCUAACUACGUG